CGCGUAGGUGGUUCUGUAUGUCUACCGUGAAAGCGUACGGCUUAACCGUAUUUUGUCGGUAGAAACUGCAGGACUUGAGGCUGGGAGGGGCUGGGUGGAAUUCCCUGUGUAGCGGUGAAAUGCGUAGAGAUGGGGGAGAACACUCGUGGCGAAGGCGGCCAGCUAGACCAGUUCUGACACUGAGGCGCGACAGCGUGGGGAGCAAACA
rnacentral:rRNA from 1 species